rnacentral:rRNA from 1 species
CAGUAGCCGCGGGAAUACGUAGGGUGCAAGCGUUGUCCGGAAUUAUUGGGCGUAAAGAGCUCGUAGGCGGUUUGUCGCGUCUGCUGUGAAAACUGGAGGCUCAACCUCCAGCCUGCAGUGGGUACGGGCAGACUAGAGUGCGGUAGGGGAGAUUGGAAUUCCUGGUGUAGCGGUGGAAUGCGCAGGUAUCAGGAGGAACACCGAUGGCGAAGGCAGAUCUCUGGGCCGUAACUGACGCUGAGGAGCGAAAGCGUGGGGAGCGAACAGGAUUAGAUACCCGCGUAGUCCCUGUCUCUUAUAC